rnacentral:rRNA from 1 species
CGAACGGGUGAGUAAUGCGUGACCAACCUGCCCCAUGCUCCAGAAUAGCUCUUGGAAACGGGUGGUAAUGCUGGAUGCUCCAACUUGACGCAUGUCUUGUUGGGAAAGUGUUUAGUGCAUGGGAUGGGGUCGCGUCCUAUCAGCUUGUAGGCGGGUAAUGGCCCACCUAGGCUUCGACGGGUAGCCGGCCUGAGAGGGCGGACGGCCACAUUGGGACUGAGAUACGGCCCAGACUCCUACGGGAGGCAGCAGCC